GACGAACGCUGGCGGCGUGCUUAACACAUGCAAGUCGAACGGGAAGGCCCUGCAUAUGUGCGCUGCUCGAGUGGCGACCGGGUGAGCUACACGUGAGUUACCUGCCCUUGCCUUUGGGAUAACUUCAGGAAACUGGGGCUAAUACCGGAUAGGAGCUCCUGCUGCAGGGUGGGGGUUGGUUGGAUUCGGCGGUUGGUGACGGACUCGCGGCCUAUCGGCUUGGUGGUGGGGUAGUGGCUUAGGAAGGCCUUGACCCGUGGCCGGCCUGCGAGGGUGACCGGCCACGUUGCGACUGGGAUACGGCCCGGACUCCUACGGGAGGCAGCGGUGGGGAGGAUGGCACAGUGGGCGGUGGCCUGGUGCCGCCGCGCCGCGUGCGGGAUGAGGGGCUUCGGGUUGUAUGGCUCUGUCGUUUGUUACGGAGUGUGAGUGACGGUACUGGGUAAAUAAGCCCCGGCUAACUACGUG
rnacentral:rRNA from 1 species